AGAGUUUGAUCCUGGCUCAGAACGAACGCUGGCGGCAGGCCUAACACAUGCAAGUCGAGCGCGCCUUCGGGUGAGCGGCGGACGGGUUAGUAACGCGUGGGAACGUGCCCUUCUCUACGGAAUAGCCUCUGGAAACGGAGAGUAAUACCGUAUACGCCCUUUGGGGGAAAGAUUUAUCGGAGAAGGAUCGGCCCGCGUUAGAUUAGGUAGUUGGUGGGGUAAUGGCCUACCAAGCCUACGAUCUAUAGCUGGUUUUAGAGGAUGAUCAGCAACACUGGGACUGAGACACGGCCCAGACUCCUACGGGAGGCAGCAGUGGGGAAUCUUAGACAAUGGGGGCAACCCUGAUCUAGCCAUGCCGCGUGAGCGAUGAAGGCCUUAGGGUCGUAAAGCCCUUUCGCCUGUGAUGAUAAUGACAGUAGCAGGUAAAGAAACCCCGGCUAACUCCGUGCCAGCAGCCGCGGUAAUACGGAGGGGGUUAGCGUUGUUCGGAAUUACUGGGCGUAAAGCGCGCGUAGGCGGAUUAGAAAGUUGGGGGUGAAAUCCCGGGGCUCAACCUCGGAACUGCCUCCAAAACUGCUAGUCUAGAGUUCGAGAGAGGUGAGUGGAAUUCCGAGUGUAGAGGUGAAAUUCGUAGAUAUUCGGAGGAACACCAGUGGCGAAGGCGGCUCACUGGCUCGAUACUGACGCUGAGGUGCGAAAGUGUGGGGAGCAAACAGGAUUAGAUACCCUGGUAGUCCACACCGUAAACGAUGAAUGCCAGUCGUCGGGUAGUAUACUAUUCGGUGACACACCUAACGGAUUAAGCAUUCCGCCUGGGGAGUACGGUCGCAAGAUUAAAACUCAAAGGAAUUGACGG
rnacentral:rRNA from 1 species